rnacentral:rRNA from 1 species
UACGUAGGGGGCAAGUGUUGUUCGGAUUCAUUGGGCGUAAAGGGUGCGUAGGUGGCGCUGUAAGUCGGGUGUGAAAUUUCGGAGCUCAACUCCGAAACUGCAUUCGAUACUGCGUGCUUGAGGACUGGAGAGGAGACUGGGAAUUCCUGGUGGUAGCGGUGGAAUGCGCAGAUAUCAGGAGGAACACCAAUAGCGAAGGCAGCUCGCUGGGACGGUACUGACGCUGAGGCGCGAAAGCGUGGGGAGCGAACAGG